UAUAUAUAUAUAGUAAUAAUAAUAUAAAUGAGUAAUAAUAAUAAUAAUAAGCAGUAGAAGGGAGUAUGAAAGUACUUACUUUGGAUAUUUAAUCUCAGAAUAUCUAAUAAAAAGAAAUAAGUUGUCAGACUUAUUGCGAGAAGGUGA
rnacentral:rRNA from 1 species